rnacentral:rRNA from 1 species
UGUAAGCGUAUACCAAAGUUGUUGCAGUUAAAACGCUCGUAGUCGGAAUUUGGCAGUUCCGGAAGUGUGCACGUCGUGUGCGCACUUUGCGGGGACUGCUUUUGUGGUCUUGCGUAGGAUGAGGCACUUUCAUUAGUGAACGUCAUCACGCAACCACUCUUUACUGUGAGAAAAUCAGAGUGCUCAAAGCAGGCAUUUGCCGUGAAUGUAUUAGCAUGGAAUAAUAGAAUAGGACUCGGUUCUAUUUUGUUGGUUUGUUGGGACUGAGUAAUGAUUAAGAGGGACAGUUGGGGGCAUUUGUAUUCCGGCGCUAGAGGUGAAAUUCUUAGAUUGCCGGAAGACAAACUGCUGCGAAAGCGUCUGCCAAGGAUGUUUUCAUUGA